ACAGGCACAGGUUUUAUAUGAUUUCACAGCAGAGCCUGGAAAUAAUGAGUUGUCGGUUCGAGAGGGUGAGACAAUCACAUUAACCAAUCAGAACGUUGGUGGAGGAUGGAUCGAGGCAAAGAACUCUAGAGGAGAAGUCGGAUUGGUACCAGAGACUAUAUAGAGAUUAAACAGGCUCAACCUUUUACCUCUGGAGGAAAUGCAGCAUCCCUCGAUCUUUCGCUCUUUGACAGUCACAUACCGGCCCCGGCCAGCACUGCACAGACAAGUAAUGGUAAUGACCCAUGGGCGGUGUUUGACAAUAAUGCGUCUGGGGGUGUUUCUAAUAACUGGGCAGCUCAGCCAGAGGGCACAGAGACCGGGAAAACCAGCAGCAAUGCAUGGCAUUCUGGAGGACACGUGCAUCCGCAGGCCUACCAGGGUGCAGGUGCAGAAGACGAUGAGUGGGAUGAGGAGUGGGAUGGGA